CGUUCCUGGCUCUUUAAUUCUUCUCAUCUUGCAGCCUUUGGGAACUUCCCUUUAAGCAGGCCCCGCAAUGGGUAACGACUCCCUGGCGGACAGAGCGGCCGAACCCAAAGGCCAGGACAAACCGGACUCAGGCCAAAUCUCCUCCGCCCUGUUUAAUGACUGUGGGAAGGAGCCGCUGGUGGAUAAAGGAGGUCCAGGAAGACACCAGGGGAAAGAGAAAGGAUCUGAUGAAGAUUUCCAGUCUACAUCCUGUUGUUCUGGUAGCUCCUGGCUGGGGAUGACCAAGCAAGACAGCAGAGAUAACCCUAAAAGCUGGACUGUCCCACAGGACAGAUGGGAGCAAAGAAAACCAAGGCGACACAGAGCCCCAAGGCACAGAGCAAGGAGAUGGGGGACUCAGGAGGGGAAAGAGCAAAGGACACUGUGGAGGGGGUGUGUCUGUGUGCAUGUGUGUUGGCAGCAAGGGCUGGAGGAGGGAUACCCUUUUUCUCAGUAAAUAUUUAACAGAGAAGGAAGCAUCUGGUUAUGUGGGUGGAGAUAACAAACUGGUUAAUCAUUUCCUAGGAACUAUUCCUAAAGGUUUCCAUGGGGUUGCUGGGAGCUGAUGCUAAUAGAAGAGGUCCAACCUGGGGUGGAUUGGGAGCAAGCCCUUGGCAGCCUCUUAUCUUUAUGCUAAGAGGGGAAAGAGGGAAUCUGGAAGGAUGCUGGGGGCCCUUUGGGGAAGGGUGGGAUUCCAGGUCUCGUGCCUUGGAAACAAUAUACAGUAUUAAAAAAAGAAUCCAUUAACCUGACUGGAAAUCUAAAACUCUGAGGAUGAGAGUAUGGUAGAGAGUAUUUGGAUGAGGAAAAAAAAUUAUGUUAUGGUGAAGUAUACUAUAGAUCACCAAGGCAGUGGGAGGAAAUGGAUGAUGAGCUCUUGACACAUCACAAAGCUGGCAUAGAGGUAGAGUUAUGAUAGGGGACUUCAUAUCUCUAAAAUAUAUUGAAUUUCUCUGCUAAAAGAACCACUCAUAGAGACUUAUGAGAAAGAUGCUCUCCACAUCCAGAGAAAGAACUGUGGGAGCAGAAACACAGAAGAAAAACAACUGCUUGAUCUCAUGGGUCCAUGAGGAUAUGAUAGGGGAUGUAGAUUCUAGAUGAUCCUCCUAGUGCAAAUGCCAAUAAUGUGGAAAUAGGUCUUGAUCAAUGACACAUGUUAAACCCAGUGGAAUUGUGUGUUGGCCACAGAAGGGGGUGGGAGGAGGGGAGAGAAAGAACAUGAAUCAUGUAACCAUGGAAAUUUUUUCUUAAUCAAUAAAAUUAAAUAAAAAAAUAAAACA
rnacentral:lncRNA from 1 species